rnacentral:rRNA from 1 species
UACGGGGGGGCAAGCGUUGUUCGGAAUUACUGGGCGUAAAGGGCGCGUAGGCGGUUUGUUAAGUUGGAUGUGAAAACUCUGGGCUCAACCCAGAGCCUGCAUCCAAUACUGACAGGCUAGAGUUCUGGAGGGGAUAGCGGAAUUCCUGGUGUAGCGGUGAAAUGCGUAGAUAUCAGGAGGAACACCGGUGGCGAAGGCGGCUAUCUGGACAGAGUCUGACGCUGAGGCGCGAAAGCUAGGGGAGCAAACAGG